CUGGGAGUUCAACACUGCAGGACUCAGAUCUGUCAGUCAACACAGCAGAAAGCACAACCACCAUGACUCUCAUCACCAUCCUCAUCUGGACGCUGGCCUGCUGCUGUUUUACAGGAUGCAGCGGUCAGGUGACUGUGACUCAGCCUCCAGUAGUGACAUUUACUCCAGGAUCCACUGUCACUCUCAGCUGUAAAACCAACAGACCGGUUUAUCAAUAUAGUGAUGGAGAUUGGGCUAUGUCCUGGUAUCAACAGAAAUCUGGACAGACGCCAAAGCUCCUAAUAAAAUAUGCGCACACCCUUGAAUCAGGAACACCAGCUCGGUUUAGUGGCAGUGGAAGCAGCUCUGACUUCACUUUGACCAUCAGUGGAGUUAAAGCUGAAGAUGCAGCAGUUUAUUACUGUCAGAGUUACCAUGAUGACCCAGUGUUCACACAGUGAUUUGUCGUCUUACAAAAACCUCCCUCAGUCAGACU